AGGCAAGCUGUGCUGACAAGAUCAGAAGGUUACUAUCAGAACCGUCAGCUCCAGUUUGCUGCAAGAUCUGAACUGGCAAAAUGGAUCUCAUGAACUACUGUGUGUUCCCCACUUAACUCAUCUUCAAAACCAAGUAUGUGGGUGAAUCAGAAUUUUAGAACUAAAAUUAUAACCAGAAUCUCUGCUAUAAGCCAGGAACAUGAAACGUUUAGUUUCCCAGUGUCUAUAUUAAAGGAAGAUACACCAGCAGGAUCUUGUACCAUAUUUUGAAUAGGCCAGUCUACUGAAUCUACCACAAUCAUCAGCAUUCUAAGAUUCAGCUGAGGACAAGACCCUGGCACUUAAUAGAAUAGAAGUGACUGAAAAUUGAAUGAUGUCUCGAGUAUAAAGAAGAGGAUGAAGGCUUAAGCAGGAAACUUUGACAGCUCCAAAGACCUUAAUCCUUAUAAAGAAGUAAUGAAGUUUCAACUUUGCACUCAGGUUUUCAAGAAACCUUUGCAACUUUAACAUAGCAUUUUGAGGAGUAAAAGUGACACCUGGAAAAAGCCAUCCUUGAGAACUAACUCCCCACAAACUGAUCAGAUGUCACAACUGUGAUUUUUCUUCAGAGAGAGCAAAACUAUGGGUUAAGAUGUGUUUGGAAGGCAGAAAUCUGACCAAGAGUCUGUCAUGAGGAGCAGACAUACAGAAGAAUGAUUCACAAGAAGACCUCCUUUCUGUGCAUUGAACAUCUAUCCACAGAGCACAUCUUCAUUACUAGGGGAGAGCAUCCAUCAGCUGACAUGGUGGUGGCAGCAUGGUCACAACUGAGGUGCGGCUUCAGAAAGGAGAGCUUUUCAAUAGUUAGAUUAUUACAGGGCCCAACUAAAUGCCUCAAAUUCCCAGGAAUGUAGAUAAUAACAAUUAUGCCUCUUUCUCUCUUUUCCUCACAGACAAAAAGGUAACUUAUGUUGCAUAAUUAUAAAAAAUUCCAAAAUAAAAAUUUGAAAUAUACAGGACACUUCAAAUAAUACAUCUACAUGUUUUGAAUCAUCUUCCUAAAGCCCAAAUAUUGUUGUUGUGUACCCAGGCACAGUAGGGAGCUGAUCAUUACAAAUGACAGCAACAACAUUUUAAAAUUAUAAAUCUUAAGAAUAUUUAAAUAAAUGUAUAGCAACUAAUAAAAUUGAAAGCAAAAU
ensembl:lncRNA LINC01378 long intergenic non-protein coding RNA 1378